UGUACAUCCCACUCGUCUGAUUGGCUGAAAGCAGCUCCAGGUCCCGCCUCUGAGGCUUUAUGAAAGCAUCCUCUGCUCUGUUCAUCACUCUGCUGAUCACACUGACAUCAUGCUGCUCUCCGUCUGCACUCUGCUCUCUGCUCUGGCGUUGGUCAGUUCACACAAAGCUGUGACACAACAGCCUUCGGUUAUAACAGCAGAUGUGGGUAAAACUGUCACUAUGGACUGUAACAUCGCAAAGGAUGAAGGUCAAUAUGUCAGCUGGUAUAAACAGAUUCCACAAGAAGUUCCAGAGUUUGUGCUGAGAUUUUAUCAUUCUCUCAGCUCUCCUGAUAAAUAUGGAGACAGUUUUUCAUCCACACGCUUCACAUCUAAAGCUCCUACAAAUAUCGACUAUCAGUUAAUAAUCAGUAAUGUGGAGGUGGGAGACUCAGCAGUGUAUUACUGUAACACAUGGGACAACUCUACUAAAGAAUACGUAUCACAGUGAUGUACACCAUGACAAAAACCUCCUCACUGCUCACACUCACUUCUGCUUUCACACAACACCAGAAAGAACAAAAACCUCAACUUCAAAUCAUUGGAACUGAAGUGGAAACUCACUUAAUGUUCACUGAAGACACUUUGAAUUCUUCACAUGUAAAGAUCACAGAUACGGUACGACUUUUUAUUCCACUUUUAUGUAAACAGACACAGAUGGUUGAUGAUUCCAUCAUGUUCUCAGCUCAGUUGUUUGUCUGUAAUGAUCUCAGUGUGAUCAGGUGAUCUACAUACGAGAGCUUUCCCACUGAUUCCCUCUGAUGGUUGUGAUUAGUGACAUUGCCUGACAGAUACCUGAUGUGGUCAGAAAGUGGCAGAAAGUAAAUCCAUGAGAUGUUUGAAGUAACUUAAAGUUAUCUUCUGUAAUUCAGACCAAGAGACAUUUGUAACAGCAGGAUUCCAGGCCACACUGUUUCACUGUGAUCUCCACUGAAACGCUUAAACACUCAGUCAUAAGGUUUUCUCUACAAUCUUUGGACAAAUGGAUGCAGUGGAUUUCUAAGAUGUGGCAGUAAUUUGGACCAGAACUGUUCUGAACCGUGGCAUCAGGAAUGUGGGUCAGAGAGACUCUCAGGACAGAGACCUUCUGAUCUCUCUGUCCUCCGUUCCAGACUCUACACUGUCCAUUCAUUCCAUUAAUUUCAUAAUUUGUAUUAAAUUCACCUCAGUGUAUAAUUCUUUAUAUCUCGUAUAGAAACAAAGUUUACUCAGAUGUUCUUCUCAGGAAACAGUAAAGCCUCCAGAGAUUUGAACAGUAUAAAGCUGGGUAGAUGUUAAGAUACUGAGAUAUUAGAUGUACUUAAAUAUCUGAUGGUUGGAGACAGUGACAGUAAUUCAGUAUAAUCUGGAGUCAGAUAUUCAUGUAAUAAAGGACCUCCAGAAGAACAUUCAUCCUUCUCCCAGUCCAGAUAAUACACUGAACUGUAUGGUCCUGUCAGUCUCUAUAGUUUAACACUGACUCAUCUUACAUCACGGACGGAGAAACACACUCAGGAAACACCUGCUGCUCCUCACGCUGACAUCUUAGAUUCAUGUAAAUGAUGAACUUCUUCUCUGAAAUGUAGAGGAACACGUUCUGCAUGUUACUGACUGAUUUCAUCAACAGAAAGUGUGUCAUUGUAACGAUCACUUUGAGAUCAGAUCAUGAAUAAAGAGUGUUUAUAAGAAGAAGACGGUGUGUGUCAGAGUGUUGAUGGUGUGUUAAUAAUAACAGUGAGGUGAGUGUUCAGUAUGUAGUACAUCACUGUGGAGAGCUUCAGCUGUGGUGUGUGAUGUUGAGCGUCUCCUCCCUCUGCCCCUCCUCCUGUCUCUC